AACAAAAUGGCGAUGCAACAAACUUCCAUGUUCUUGAAAACGUUUUGAUGCUUACUAAAAGAAAUGAUCGCCGUCGUGCAGCCCGACGUGCCUGUGGCCCAGAGUACAACAGCCCAAGAUGACCCAAGACAUCUUCCCCCUCACAAGGAGACUCAAGGUUCUGUAUUUUCCCGCGUUUCUGUGACUUCUGAAAGAAGUGAACAGCGAGAGCUGAGGCUUUUACCUCCCGUCGCCUGAUCCCGUGGACCCUGGGUCCUAAGGAGCGAUGUCCACCCGCCCUUGAGAGGAGCGCGUGGCCUGGGCAGGGUCACUCGUCACGCAAGCCGGAAAUGAGAAGCUUUCCGCCACCCUUGUGUUCAUCCACCCCAGCAUCUCAGAAGUGAGGCCCAGCCUCAUGAGUUUUAAUUGGACAACAGAUUCCUACUUCCCCUAGGAACCUUGCAGCAACAUCAAGAUGGACCUUUUAUCACAUUUCUGGAAGGGUGAAGGUGCUCUGGAAAAAGGGUGAGGCCCUCCCGGCCAGGGAGAAAGCUAAGCCACAGCAGGCGCUAGGACUCCCGGAGGAGAUGACACAGCCACCGGCUGGCACUUGUCGGCUCGGGCUGCACCGAACAUCAGCGGUCAUGACGACGCUCCCCGCGUCCCCAGGGACAAUGGCGCCAAGCCCGUCCAGAGCUGCUCCAGAGAGUGAAGGACCCAGCACGGCAUCUCUCUCCCCGCCUAUGGCUUGACGGGCCCGCACUCUUGGCUCCCUGGGCAGAAAAGAUACGGAACUCCUCCUGGCGUGGCAGCACCGGUACCCCUGUGCUUUUGGCCUCCCUCCCCUGGUGGCAUGGAGCCCAGAGACGCCAACAUCCUCUCGGACUAAGGAAGCCCUUCCAGAACUUGCCACCAGCCCUGGAAUCCUGGCUGCUCCCCCAGUGAUGGAGCAUUGGACAUGGUGGCUCUCAGGGCUGAAUUCCGGAGUGCUAACGUGGACCAGGAAGUAAGGCUUAUGAGACUUGGUCUUCGAGUGCCCUCCUUUCUCCCUUGCUUUACACCUGACUUUGGCCUCCUGCUCUACGUCUGCCCGCCAAAUGCCUCUUUUAGCCUCGCUGUUACCCCACAGCGUCCCAUUGUUUAUACAAGUUAUUUCUCCUCCGCCAAGAAUUUCUUAGUACAUCAGUUAGAACGUAGGAUUUUGAGAGAUUCGUGCUGUCAUCCUUCCCCCCACUCCUGCACUUUAGUGAUUUGCAUGUAGAAGUUACUCAGUCCAGAUUUGUUGAAGGUGGAUUCAACCUGGAUGUCUUCUGUGCAUCUACUCUUGUUACCUGUUUUGGUCCCAAAUCCUUUCCCCGUGUGGUUCCGGAGUUCCUCCCGCUUCAGGGUUUGGUCUCUUCUAGGGAUGCUGGUAUCUCCUAAUUUAGACAGGAGUGUUCACGGUAGCUGAUUUCCCAUCAACUGGGAGGAAAAGAACUCAUACAUUUUUAGGGCUGAAAGAUUCUCCAGAAAGUAUUUAGUCCAUUUCUUAAUAAGAGGCCAGGUAACUCGUCCGGGGUCAACUGGUUACGUACGCGACAGAAGAGAGAAGCCAAAUGUCCUGGUUUGAUGUGAGGCCAUUGGUCGUGUGGAUGAAGACAUCAUCUGUAUGGCUGGUGUAGGGUGAGUGGGGGUGUCACAUCGUAUCUGUUCUGGCAGGUUCCUCCGUUGGCUCCUGGGCAUUUCAGCUUAACUUUAACAGCUUCCAAGUGAGUUUAGACACCUUCAUCAUGUCUGCUCCACAGGCGUUGCGUGGGGGCAGCUGGAAGACGAGCCCACUCCCAACACAACUGGGUCACACAGACGGUGUUCCUAGCAGCAGAGAUGGAACGGUCUCCUGUUCCAUCUCGCAAAUCCACAGAUAUGACUGACAGGGAGUGUUUUCCACUUAGAGUCAUGCAGAUCUCAGAGGUAGGUCUGUUUCCAACCACUGAGGAAGCAUAAAGCAAAACAGUCUUGUCGGCAUAGACAUAUGCCUCAUUGUUUUCAAUCUGAACACAUGUUUUACAUCAAGAGAAGGGCUUGUGGUCGGGGUAGGGGGAGCUGAAGGGAGAUUCAAAGGUUCUUCAGCACUCAAAGAUCUCAACCUCUUCAAAGUUUCAACCCUCAGAGCUCUUACGAUGUUUCAUCCCACUCAGCAGAGACGCUUCUCUGCCCACACUCUCAGGUGCAUGCGUGGGGACUCGAGUGUGGUCCAGAAGGAUGGAGAAAGGUAACAGGAUGGUCACCUCACUGCAGAUAUUUUCCCCAGAGGAUGUCAUUUCUCCAUUGGGAUUUGAUGAGCUCCCUAAGGCACAUUCACGUGCAGAGAGCAGGUGAUAUCUGGCUGCUAGAGAGGCCGCAUCAAGCCAUGGUGGUCAUGGGUACCACGAGCUCACCCUGGAGGGGAAUAAGCACCUUCUAUCUGGGACGCCGGGCAGGUGGGUGCUGGCCAGAACCAGUGUCAGGGACAACAGGUUGAUCAAGAGAAAAGGGAAGGGUUUGCAUUCAGUUAUCAUCACUUUCUAGCCUCAGGGUUCUCAACCGCAAGUUGGAGAUAUUAAUAACUUCCUUCCAUGAUAUUUUUGGGGUUCACCAAAUGCGAUCAUUACCUGUGAAAGUGCUUGGCACAGAGAGAUGAGGGGCAGUGCCCUCGACAGGAAGGAAUUCCGGCACCCACGCCAGCUCCUGGCUGUCUUCUUUCUGAGAUGACUGUUUCUAAGGGGAAGGAGGAGCAAGAUGAUGCCUCCAACCUGCAGGUCACGUCCAGGCAAGUCAAGUUGGAGUGUAAGAGUACCACUUACACUGGGCCCCAAGCGGUUUGUCGUCAGAGGGCCCCGUGGGAAACAGAGUGGCAGGGUGAUAGGGUGGGGCCAGGAGAGCCCAGCACGAGUCCUGGGGUCACUGCUCGCACUCUUGCUACUUUGGAUGGUUCUUUGCCUCCUUGGCCGUCUAUAAAUUGGCCCGUCUAUAAAUUGGAGCAGACUGAACACAGCAUAGGGUCGUGCCAAGGCUCCUGCAGAAUGAUCCGGGAAGACAGCUGGAAAUGACAAGGUGCUGAAACAUGUGUGAUGGUGUUGUUGUUCUUAAAGGAAGGAAGAAAGGAGGGAGAGCAUGAGAAGUGCGGGGGAAGGGAUUAGCCUCUAUUUAAAAUUUUUUUUUAAUUUUAAAAUAGUUUUGAGUUUCCAGAAGAGUUGAAAAAGGAGUCUGAAGAGUUCCCACAUACAGCACAUCCAGUUUCUCCUACGGUCCAGCUCCUAUAUUAGGAUGGAACAUCUGUCCUGUUUCAUAACCAAUAUUGAUAACACUAUUGCUAACUAAAGUCUAUGCUUUCUUCACAUUUCGUUUGUUUUGACCAAAUGUCCUUCCACUCUAGCGUUCCAUCCAGGAUCCCACAUAACAUUUCGUUGUCAGGUCCCCUUUAGGCUCCAGUUGGCUGGGGCAGUUUCUCUGAUUUUCUUUGUUUUUGAUGACCCUGACGGUUUUCAGGAGUACUGGUCAGGCGUUUUGUAGAAUGUCCCUACACUGGGGUUUGUCUGGUGUUUCCUCAUGAUUAGGGUAGGAUUGUGGAUUUCUGGGAGGAAGACACAGAGGUAAAGUGCCAUUCUCAUCACAUCAUAUCAAGAGUACAGACAUCUACAUGACUUAUCACUCUUGAUGUUGACCCUGACGUCUGGCUGAGGUAGUGUGUAUAUGUGUUGAGUUUCUUUUUCUCCCUUUUCAUACUUUAUUCUUUUUUUUAAGUUUAUUUAUUUAUUUUGAGACAGCUGUCAGUGCAGAGCCCCACAUAGGGCUCAAACCCACGAUCCACAAGAUCGUGACCUGAACGGAAGUCAAGAGUUGGAUGCUUAACGGACUGAGCCACCCACGUUGCCCAUAGUGUAGACCUUGAAAGGGAAUCACUGCGCACUCCACCUUCUUGGGGGAGGAGUAGUUACCUCGAUUAUUUGAAAUUGUACCCCGUGGGAGAGUUGUCUAUUCUCCCCGACUCGUGUAUUCAUGUGAUCAGUACAGAAUAUUUCAUAUUCAUAUAUAUCAGUAUGAAUCAUGCAUAUUUGUUUUAUACUUGUGUUAUUUAUAAUCCGGUACUACUUUAUUGCUCAGAUUAUACCAGUUUGGGUCACUGAGAGCUCUUUCAAAUGGCUGCUGGGUUCCUUCGACACACCCCCACCAUCGUGCAUGUCGUUUGUUUGUUUUUCGGAGCACUUUCUUACUUUCUGACAUUACGAGAUGCUCCAGGAUCAUCUUGCAUAUUCCCUGCCCAUCCUAAACUCGGCCAUUUCUUCAAGAUGUCCUAAUUCCUUUUAUCAGAGAGUGAUCCCAACAUCUGAAAUCUGGGCACUAGAUGCUCUCAUUGCGACAAGGGUGUCAUUUCUUGUAUGCUCUGUUAGCUAACAGAUGUGUUUACGCAUGUAAACAUGUAAAUAUGUGUUCACACCAACCUGUAUCUACAGAUAUUUUGUACGCAUCCCUCUGUGUCUGUAUUAGGCUAGACGUGAGUUCUUACUGACGUCUCCAAUGCUAAUCCCUGGCCACGUGAAUCAUUCCAGCCUCCCCAUUUUGUUUGCCUGUGUCCUGUCACUCCAACAGUGAGGACCUUGGCUCCCGCCAUCGGCCAUCCAUCUACUUCAGUUUUCAGUUCCAAAAUUCACAAUGGGUGGCUUCACAAUCAUUAACGCGUGUCCCAUGGGAAACAACUUUAUCAGUCAGAAUACAGUGUUACGUAUAAUUCCUUUUGCUUUUGGUUUUACAAUUUCCACUCAUUUCCAGUAGUACCUGGGUCAGCACCUUUUAUACCCACCCAUUCAGGGGAGGGAUUUCCGGUAUUUGUAUUACCGUUAGAUUUAUUUAUUUGUUUAUUUAUUUUUGGUCAGACUCAGCAGUCCAUCCCAGAAUCCCCCAGCCUCUUGAAUAAUUUUCAAAAAUUUGCAUACAUUUGAAAAUUUCCUGAGACGAAAACCCGGACGACUGAUUUUGGCUCUUUAUUUUUUUCUAACACAUGCGUUUCACACUCUACAUUUCCACUGUCCUGCAUUCUGUCACUAUGGGUUAGUUUCUGUUUUUAAAAAUUUUACGUGAACAGAUUUGUGCAGCGUGUGCCCCGCCCCUCCGGCUGCUUUCACUCGGCGUAAUUAUUUCGGAUUCAUUCGUGUUCUUGCCUGUGUCGAUAGGUUGUCUCUUCUUACUGCUCAGUCAUAUUCCGUGUGUUUACCUAUUUACCUGUAGCCGUACCUCUGGAUUCUUUCCAGUUUUGAGUCAUUAAAAACAAAGCUGCUGCUAGCAUUCGUGUGGGAGUCUUUGUGUGGACAUACGCUUUCAUUUCUCUUGGCUAAACGCUUAGGAGUGGAAUGGCUGGGUCAUAUGGUAAGAGUAUGCUUAACUUUGAAGACGCUGCCCAUUCGUUCUCCAAAGUGGGUGGACCACGUUCCAUUCCCACCGCCGGGUGUAAGGUUCCGGUUCUCGCCCACCUCAGCACGGAGAGUAUUCAGCGCGGAGAGUUAAUUUCAGACAUUCCAGAAGGUGUGUGGGGCUAUCUCAUCGUUUCUGUUUGCAUUUCCCUGGUUACUAACGAGAUUGCACUUCUGUACCAUUCAUAUUUCUUCUUUGGUGAAGUACACGCUCAAUUCCUUCUCCCACUUAUAAAACUGGGUUGCUUGCGUUUUUCUUAUUGAUUUGGAGGUGGUUGUUUUUUUUAAUAUUCUGGAUUCAAAGUUGAUUAUCAGACAUGUGAUCUGCAGACAGCUCCUAGUCCGUGGCUUAUCUAUUCCCUUCUUUACAGGGUCCCUCAUAGAGCAGAAGUUUUAAAACUCUAUGAAGUCCAAUCUAUCAAACUUUUUUUGCGUCAUGCUUUUGCUGUCUUACCUAGAAAGUCUUUGCCUAGGGGCGCCUGGGUGGCUCCGUUGGUUAAGCCUCGGACUCUUGAUCUCCGCUGCCAUCAUGAUCUCACAGCUCCUGAGAUUGAGCCCCACAUCAGGUUCUGCGCUGACAGCACAGAGCCUGCUUGGGGUUCUCUCUCUCCCUCUCUCUCUGCUCCUUCCCUGCUUGCACACGCAUGUGCGCACACCUUCUCUCUACUUUAAAAAGGUAAAUAGGGGCACCUGGGUGGCUCGGUCAGCUGAGCGUCUGACUUCAGCUCAGGUCAUGAUCUCGCGUUUGUGAGACACUGGGCUCGCUGCUGUCAGCCCAUCAGCACAGAGCCCGCUUCGGAUCCUCUGUCCCCGCCCCCCUCUCUGCCCCUCCCCUGCUGGCGUGCUCUCUCUCAAAAAAUAAAUAAAAUAAUUAAUUAAUUAGUUAAUUAUUUAAAAGUCUCUGCCUCACUCAGAGUUGCAGAUUCAGUUUCAAAGUCUCCUGGACCUGCCUGUCUGCUUAGAAUUUUCUUCUAUAUUUUCAUGUUGCACUUUAUACAGUUGUAGGUUUUUAAAAUGGGCCUGUGAUCCAUUUUGAGUUAAUUUUUAGAUACGGUGUGAGGUGUUUGUCAAAGUCCAAUUUUUCAUGCAGGUAAUUAUUCAGUUGUUCCCCAGCAUUUACCGAAAGAGUAUUUUUUUUUCUAUGGAGCUGUCUUGGUAUCUUUGCUGAAGAUCAGUUGUGCACAUAUCUGCAGGUCUAUUUCCGAAACAUAUAUUUUGUUCUCUUGAUCCGUCUGUCUGUCUGUCUGCCACUGUAUACUGCUUCUUUCCAGGGACUUUAUAACAAGACCUGAAAUCUGGUAGUGCUCGUCUUAAAAAGGGGUUCUCUUUUUCAGAAUCCUCUUGGUUUCCGCAGAGCUAUUGUGUUUUCUUUUGAAUCUUAGGACCAAUUUGUUGAUUUGGACAAAAACCAAAGGAAUGAGAGAUUUUUGACUGGGACCGUGUUGAAUCUAUGUCUGUUUAUUUACAUUUCACUCAAUCCCUCUCAGCAAUACUGGAUCGUUUUCAGUAUAUAGGCCUUUCUCAUCCUUUGUCAGAUUUAUCCCCAAGUCGUUCUGAUCUUUAUGUUUCUAGAAAUGGUAUUUUUUAUUUCGAUUUCGGAUUGCCCACUGCUUGCACAUAGGCAUGCAACUGAUUUUCUUGUGUUGAUCUCAUAUCUUGCACCCCUUCCAGACGCGCUGGUUCCUUUCAGUGGCUUUUUGUAGAUUCGUAUAUUUUUUUUUACCUUUUUGUUUGUUUGUUUGUUUCGUGUGAGAGAAUAAAUUUCAAUAAAGCUACUCCCUUUGACUGUA